rnacentral:rRNA from 1 species
CACGUAGGGCGCGAGCGUUGUCCGGAAUUACUGGGCGUAAAGCGCACGUAGGCGGAUUGUUAAGUCGGGGGUGAAAUCCUGGAGCUCAACUCCAGAACUGCCUUCGAAACUGGCGAUCUUGAGUCCGGGAGAGGUGAGUGGAACUGCGAGUGUAGAGGUGAAAUUCGUAGAUAUUCGCAAGAACACCAGUGGCGAAGGCGGCUCACUGGCCCGGUACUGACGCUGAGGUGCGAAAGCGUGGGGAGCAAACAGG